UUAAAGCACUAAUUGAACGCUCCAAAAUUGCAUGGAAAAAGAUUUCAGCGAGAUCAGCUUUCGGGGUUUCAUCAACUUCAGCAUUACCCACCCCAUCGCCAAUUAUUUGUUCCUCAUUAGCAAUAUCCAUUAGAGGUAAAUUCGGAAUUUGCAUAUGUGGCACGACAAGAAUUUUUCAUUAUAGCGGUAACACAGUCCUUUAGAUAUCUGGAUUCAGCAUCCCGUACU
rnacentral:lncRNA from 1 species